UACAGAGGGUGCAAGCGUUGUUCGGAAUUAUUGGGCGUAAAGCGCGUGUAGGCGGCUUUGCAAGUCGGGUGUGAAAGCCCUCAGCUCAACUGAGGAAGUGCGCCCGAAACUGCAGAGCUUGAGUACCGGAGAGGAUGGUGGAAUUCCCAAGUAGAGGUGAAAUUCGUAGAUAUGGGGAGGAACACCGGUGGCGAAGGCGACCAUCUGGACGGAUAUUGACGCUGAGGUGCGAAAGCGUGGGGAGCAAACAGG
rnacentral:rRNA from 1 species